UAAGACGAGGGAUCCUAGCGUUGUUCGGAAUCAUUGGGCGUAAAGCGGGUGUAGGCGGACUUCUAAGUCAGGUGUGAAAUCCCAGGGCUCAACCCUGGAAGUGCAUUUGAUACUGGAAAUCUUGAGUGUGGUAGAGGCUACUGGAAUUGUUGGUGUAGUGGUGAAAUACGUAGAUAUCAACAGGAAUACCGGAGGCGAAGGCGAGUAGCUGGGCCAACACUGACGCUGAGACCCGAAAGCGUGGGGAUCAAACAGG
rnacentral:rRNA from 1 species